rnacentral:rRNA from 1 species
GACGAACGCUGGCGGCGUGCUUAACACAUGCAAGUCGAACGGAAAGGCCCUGCUUUUGUGGCGUGCUCGAGUGGCGAACGGGUGAGUAACACGUGAGUAACCUGCCCUUGACUUUGGGAUAACUUCAGGAAACUGGGGCUAAUACCGGAUAGGAGCUCCUGCUGCAUGGUGGGGGUUGGAAAGUUUCGGCGGUUGGGGAUGGACUCGCGGCUUAUCAGCUUGUUGGUGGGGUAGUGGCUUACCAAGGCUUUGACGGGUAGCCGGCCUGAGAGGGUGACCGGCCACAUUGGGACUGAGAUACGGCCCAGACUCCUACGGGAGGCAGCAGUGGGGAAUAUUGCACAAUGGGCGGAAGCCUGAUGCAGCAACGCCGCGUGCGGGAUGACGGCCUUCGGGUUGUAAACCGCUUUCGCCUGUGACGAAGCGUGAGUGACGGUAAUGGGUAAAGAAGCACCGGCUAACUACGUG